rnacentral:rRNA from 1 species
AUUGAACGCUGGCGGCAGGCCUAACACAUGCAAGUCGAGCGGAGCGGCGGACGGGUGAGUAAUGCCUAGGACUCUGCCUGGUAGUGGGGGCUAACGUCCGGAAACGGGCGCUAAUACCGCAUACUAUCAGAAAAGCCUAGGUCGGAUUGGCUAGUUGGUGGGGUAAAGGCCUACCAAGGCGACGCUCAGGAACUGGUCUGAGAGGAUGAUCAGUCACAGUGGAACUGAGACACGGGCCAGACUCCUAAGGGAGGGAGCAGUGGUGAAUAUUGGACAAUGGGCGAAAUCAUGAUCCAGCCAUGCCGCGUGUGUGAAGAAGGUCGGCGGGUUGUAAAGCAUUUUAAGUUAGGAGGCGUUACCAACAGAAUGAGCACCGGCUAACGUCGUGCCAGCAGCCGCGGUAAUAC